rnacentral:rRNA from 1 species
GACGAACGCUGGCGGCGGGCUUAACACAUGCAAGUCGAACGGCAAGGCCCUGCUUUUUUGCGGUGCUCGAGUGGCGAACGGGUGAGUAACACGUGAGUAACCUGCCCUUGACUUUGGGAUAACUUCAGGAAAGUGGGGCUAAUACCGUAUAGGAGCUCCUCUUGCAGGGUGGGGGUGGGAAAGUCUAGGCGGUUGGGGAUGGACUGGCGGCUUAUCAGCUUGUUGGUUGGGUAGUGGCUUACCAAGGCUUGGAACGGUCGCCGGCCUGUGAGGGUGGACGGGGACCAUGGGACUGAGGUACGGACCAGUGUGCUACGGGAGGCAGCAGUGGGGAAUAUUGCACAAUGGGAGGAAGCGUGAUGCAGCAGCGCCGCGUGCGGGAUGACGGUCUUCGGGUUGUAAACCGCUUUCGGCUGUGACGAAGCGUGAGUGACGGUAAUGAGUAAAGAAGCACCGGCUAACUACGUG